AACGAACGCUGGCGGCAGGCCUAACACAUGCAAGUCGAGCGAGGACUUCGGUUCUAGCGGCGGACGGGUGAGUAACGCGUGGGAAUGUGCCCUUCUCUACGGAAUAGCCCUGGGAAACUGGGAGUAAUACCGUAUACGCCCUAUUGGGGAAAGAUUUAUCGGAGAAGGAUCAGCCCGCGUUGGAUUAGGUAGUUGGUGGGGUAAUGGCCUACCAAGCCGACGAUCCAUAGCUGGUUUGAGAGGAUGAUCAGCCACACUGGGACUGAGACACGGCCCAGACUCCUACGGGAGGCAGCAGUGGGGAGUCUUAGACAAUGGGGGCAACCCUGAUCUAGCCAUGCCGCGUGAGUGAUGAAGGCCUUAGGGUUGUAAAGCUCUUUCAGCUGGGAAGAUAAUGACGGUACCAGCAGAAGAAGCCCCGGCUAACUCCGUG
rnacentral:rRNA from 1 species